rnacentral:tRNA from 1 species
AAAAAAUUAGUUAAACCAAAAUAACAUUAGUAUGUCAAACUAAAAUUAUCCAAAUUAUUAGAUAUUUUU